rnacentral:rRNA from 1 species
CCUACGGGAGGCAGCAGUGGGGAAUUUUGGACAAUGGGGGCAACCCUGAUCCAGCCAUGCCGCGUGAGUGAAGAAGGCUUUCGGGUUGUAAAGCUCUUUUGGCCGGGAAGAAAUCGCAUCAGCUAAUACCUGGUGUGGAUGACGGUACCGGAAUAAGAAGCACCGGCUAACUACGUGCCAGCAGCCGCGGUAAU